UACGUAGGGAGCAAGCGUUGUCCGGAAUCAUUGGGCGUAAAGAGCGCGUAGGUGGCUUUAUAAGUCCGUUGUGAAAGUCAAAGGCUCAACCUUUGAAAGCCGAUGGAUACUGUGAAGCUAGAGUACGGAAGAGGCGAGUGGAAUUCCUGGUGUAGCGGUGGAAUGCGCAGAUAUCAGGAGGAACACCAAUAGCGAGGGCAGCUCGCUGGGACGUUACUGACACUGAGGCGCGAAAGCGUGGGGAGCGAACAGG
rnacentral:rRNA from 1 species